GCACAGUUGAAAGAUAAGAUAAUGAAAAAAACUUGAUUAUAUUAUACGAAUAUUGAGAACAUUUCCCAGGAAACAUUUAAACCGAGUACCGACCUAAAGUUGCGAUUGCAAAGAUGGCGGGUAAACAAUGUUGGACUUUUCAUGUUCAACAUCGGCAUUUCGGAGACUAAAUGUUUGCAGAGAGAAUGAAGUUUGCAGCAGCAUAUUGGGUCCCAGAGGGAAUUAUUGUUCAGUGUAUGAAAUGCACAUUUGUGAUCUAAUAUUAAAAUGUGACACUAUUUUGAUGGCUUAUUAAAAUGCUAUAUAUGUGA